UUCACUUAAGGGACCAUCUUUACUUCCAGUAAUAGCUGGUGCUAAGGAUGACAAUGCCUCACCUGCAUGCAUGAAGAACUGUGUUUCAGACUGUCCUGCACACUCUGUGUGCUUUAUCUCACUUAAUCCUUGCAACACCCCUUUGAGGUGGGAAGUACAAUGAUUACCAUGAACAAGUGAAGAAACUGAAGCUUUAAACAGUCAAAUAACUGAAUAACAUAUAGCAAGUUAAAAGUGGACCAAGAAUUUUGAUCCAGGAAGAUCUGACACAGCCUGUGUUCUGUUCUCAAUAAAUAGCAUUCCUACCAUGUUCAAAACACUACGUCCAAUGUAGUGGUAGAGAUUUCUAAAUGGCUGCACACAAAGCUUUAUCCACAAAGAACUAUGAUUGGGUCGGAGAGAGUGAGAGGACACCAGAAGUCAAACGAAAUUAGAACAUGACAUAGAAACAUAAGAGAGGAAACAGGGUAGAAUGUGGUGAAGAAUUCAGACAGAAGAGCCAUGGAAACUGAGAUAGCCCAGAAGAGCCCCAGGGAGAGGGAAGAUGAGGCUUGGGAAGCCCAGGCAGGAUUUAGAGUUUAAGACGAUAUGUCACGGUGUUCUAGGAAGGGAGACAGCUGAAAGGCGUGAACAUGGUGAUGCAUGACGUGUUUGGGUGAUAGUGAGCAGGACAGUUUAACUAAAGAGAGGUUCAUGGGGGAACAACAAGGAGGAAGAACUUUGGAUUUUAAAAUGUGAGAAACCAUAGGGAGAAGGGCUAAGUAUUUUUUUUUUCAUUUUAUAGUAUUUGGGGGUGGGGGAAGUGAAGUUUUCUGAAUGUUAGAGUAAUACAUUAUAUGAAGAGGAGUUCCUGGCAGAAAUGUGCCAGUGGAUCGUAGGGGAGACCCCCGGAAACCAGUCUUGAGGCUGCGGCAAGUUCCAGAGAGUGGCAGAACUCAGAAUCACAGAAUCAGGUGACUUCAGAGUUGAUUGAAUGGGGGAUGUGGUGGCGACUAACUGUCAGAGAGGGAGGUGGUUUGAUUGUUCAGUCAUUAUAGCUAAAUUACUCCCAAUGAUGGGCAGUUCUAGAUUAGAUGCAGAUGGAUUUAACUUUGGACUUUGUGCAAAGGAAAUUUACAACUAAUUAAUUUACUUGUAUUCCUCUUCUCGAUCUAAUUAAUUUCAAGGAUUUUAAACAAGCAUUGCUUCUUUUGACCCCACAGGACAUCUUCUAAUUGAAAUAGUUGCUUGUGACCUUAGAAGGAAGGUCCUUUAUGUACAAACAUGCACCUGCCAUUUCAGCUACGUGACUCAAUUUUAAGCUUUUAAAACUCUUCUUUCAGCUCAACAAAUCUGUGGCCAGAGCUGCCAUCACUCGUAAUUGUGCAGAACCAUGAUCCUUUUGACAAUCUGAUUUCAAUUUUAGUGGUCUG
rnacentral:lncRNA from 1 species